UUACCUCAAACACUCUCACCCUCUUUUUCUCGAUUUCUUCUCUCACUCACUCACUCACUCUCUCUCUCUCUCUCUCUUCAGUAGCAACUCUCUCCCAAAAUGAAGAGAUUGAUCUAGGGUUUAUUUUUAUACCCUAGGAAUGACAUACGAUCAACCUCUAUAAAGAUACAGGCUGUCAGAUCAAAGGGUGGCAUUUUUAUCUUUUUAGGUGCGAAAUCAACCCCUCACCAUUCGACCAUGACCCUUUGAACCUCAGUCAU
rnacentral:lncRNA from 1 species